rnacentral:rRNA from 1 species
GGGGUCCUACGGGGGGCAGCAGUGAGGAAUAUUGGUCAAUGGGAGAGAUCCUGAACCAGCCAAGUAGCGUGAAGGGUGACUGCCCUACGGGUUGUAAACUUCUUUUAUAAAGGAAUAAAGUGAGGCACGUGUGCCUUUUUGUAUGUACUUUAUGAAUAAGGAUCGGCUAACUCCGUGCCAGCAGCCGCGGUAAUACGGAGGAUCCGAGCGUUAUCCGGAUUUAUUGGGUUUAAAGGGAGCGUAGAUGGGUUGUUAAGUCAGUUGUGAAAGUUUGCGGCUCAACCGUAAAAUUG